GGGCGUUUAGCUCAGUUGGUGAGAGCACACCCCUGAUAAGGGUGAGGUCCCUGGUUCGAGUCCAGGAACGCCCACCG
rnacentral:tRNA from 1 species